AACGCGAAGAACCUUACCAAGGCUUGACAUAUAGGGAAAAGUGGCAGAGAUGUCAUGUCCGCAAGGGCGCUAUACAGGUGGUGCAUGGUUGUCGUCAGCUCGUGUCGUGAGAUGUUGGGUUAAGUCCCGCAACGAGCGCAACCCUCGUUCUGUGUUACCAGCAUUCAGUUGGGGACUCACAGGAGACUGCCGGGGUCAACUCGGAGGAAGGUGGGGAUGACGUCAAAUCAUCAUGCCCCUUAUGUCUUGGGCUGCACGCAUGCUACAAUGGCCGGUACAAAGUGCUGCGAGAUCGUAAGAUUGAGCGAAUCACAUAAAGCCGGUCUCAGUUCGGAUUGAGGUCUGCAACUCGACCUCAUGAAGCCGGAGUUGCUAGUAAUCGUAGAUCAGCAACGCUACGGUGAAUACGUUCCCGGGUCUUGUACACACCG
rnacentral:rRNA from 1 species